rnacentral:rRNA from 1 species
GUGGGGAAUAUUGGACAAUGGGCGCAAGCCUGAUCCAGCCAUGCCGCGUGAGUGAUGAAGGCCUUAGGGUUGUAAAGCUCUUUUGUCCGGGAAGAUAAUGACUGUACCGGAAGAAUAAGCCCCGGCUAACUUCGUGCCAGCAGCCGCGGUAAUACGAAGGGGGCUAGCGUUGUUCGGAAUCACUGGGCGUAAAGCGCACGUAGGCGGACCAUUAAGUCAGGGGUGAAAGCCCGGAGCUCAACUCCAGAACUGCCUUUGAUACUGAUGGUCUCGAGUAUGGAAGAGGUUGGUGGAACUGCGAGUGUAGAGGUGAAAUUCGUAGAUAUUCGCAAGAACACCGGUGGCGAAGGCGGCCAACUGGUCCAUUACUGACGCUGAGGUGCGAAAGCGUGGGGAGCAAACAGGAUUAGAUACCCGUGUAGUCC